GAUGAACGCUGGCGGCGUGCCUAAUACAUGCAAGUCGAGCGAACAGACGAGGAGCUUGCUCCUCUGACGUUAGCGGCGGACGGGUGAGUAACACGUGGAUAACCUACCUUUAAGACUGGGAUAACUUCGGGAAACCGGAGCUAAUACCGGAUAACAUGUUGAACCGCAUGGUUCAACAGUGAAAGACGGUCUUGCUGUCACUUAUAGAUGGAUCCGCGCCGCAUUAGCUAGUUGGUAAGGUAACGGCUUACCAAGGCAACGAUGCGUAGCCGACCUGAGAGGGUGAUCGGCCACACUGGAACUGAGACACGGUCCAGACUCCUACGGGAGGCAGCAGUAGGGAAUCUUCCGCAAUGGGCGAAAGCCUGACGGAGCAACGCCGCGUGAGUGAAGAAGGUCUUCGGAUCGUAAAACUCUGUUAUUAGGGAAGAACAAAUGUGUAAGUAACUAUGCACGUCUUGACGGUACCUAAUCAGAAAGCCACGGCUAACUACGUG
rnacentral:rRNA from 1 species